AAUCCGUCGACUUUAGAAAUCGUGAGGAU
rnacentral:tRNA from 1 species